UUUUCUACAGACAAACAAGUACUGAAACUGAAGUACUGGCGGUACUGAACUGACAACUCCUUUUUUAUUUCUUUUCAUCCUUGCAAUGGUUCUGUACUGACGUUACACGUGAACGCUUUUAUCGGAUACCCGGCAUUGAUUUUAGAAAAAAAUCCUAUUAUUUUUUCGCGAUUAUGGCUCAUCAGUAAAUCAAACUAUCUGUAUGUACUAUCAAUGUAUCUAUAUAAUUUAAGUACAUCAAAGAGCUAUAGAAAUAAUUACCCAUGCUAUUCAUAUUGCAACAUUUCUGGUACAAGAAUUUGGAAAAUUGCUAUAGCAAGAUGAAUGAGCCAGUCUCAAAAAUGGCAUCGAGAAAGUACACUAAGAGAAUUGGUAAAAAACAUAUUAAAUAAAAUCUAGUUCAAGAGAAACAAAACAUUGGAGAUAUAUUUAAAUUACAUUUACUGAAAUCAAAUGAAAACAUCUUGAUUCUUGAUAGAACGCCAGUAGGGACGAGAUAGCAAUAGCCAUGACUACUGGAGCCUGGAAUAUUAGCUUCAUCAUGUGUUAUCUUAAUCGGAUGGAACUAUUUGGGGAUGGUGACAAACAAAGUUUAACUUUAUACUGAAUGAGAUACAUUUUACAACCUCUUCAACUGAACAUGUUAUGUUCGAAAGACGAAAGUCUUUAUUAAGGAGUUGAGACAUGGCCUAGAGGUAUUUGGAAUGGCUGUUUCUGAGCUCUGGUAAUAUAAAUGCAGUAUGGAUUGUAAAAAAACAAAACUGAUGUUGAGUAUGGAUAGGUGUAAUUUAUCUGGAGAGUUAAAUCUAUCCAAUUGUAAAAUGUAACGUCAAUUUGACAGUUGUUAUCACUGACAGAUAGUGGAUUAGUUUGAAAUGGACUCUACUAAUAUCUCUAUAAUGAGAAUGAACGAACCACCUGAACAAAAUAAUGAGAAUGGAUAUCUUCAUAAAUCUGAGGAAAAUGUAUAAAUUUGAUGCGCUGUAUAUAUGGCUAGCGCUCCUGGCAAUCGAAGCAUCUGAACAAUACUGAGAAAGAAAAGGAAAUGAAUGAAGCUGUUUUUUUUUUCUUUCCAACUCUAGGCUGCCAAGGUUAUCAGUUGCAGUACAUUCUAAAGGGUUCUUGGAUACUUAUAGGGUAGAUGUUAUAUGCAGAGAACAACUCCAGUUAAAAGGAUUUCAAUGUAUUGGAACAAUGUUAAGAUAUGAUAUCAAAGAGGAACUUUUAUGCCAAACACCAUGUAAACAUUCAAACAAUGGACAAAAGAGGAUCCUACUGUCUAGAAAGCUUUGUGGGGCAGAGGAUUAUUGAAAAGCAGCUGAAAUUACCGUAACUUUGCAUAUCGGAAAAACUGUAACCUGACCGCAGAAAGCAAUCCUUAUUCCAAAUGCUGAUUUAUGGAGCCAGACAAACAAAAGUAUUAUAAUGAUUUGGAGAGAAUACGUGCAGUUGUUUAUUGAAGAUAGAAGAUAUUUAUAAUUAUUAUAUUAUAUUGUGAAUUAAAUGGAAAGUAAAAUAAACGCGAGUUUUAGUUUAGUAAA
rnacentral:lncRNA from 1 species